GGGGCAGCCGGGCGCGCUGUCUCCCCCACCGCAGGAGGGUCUCCACCACCACGUCUCCGCGGACUGUGGCACAAGUCUCGGCCAAGUUGCGCGUUGGACGCCGAGGCUCCCAGGACCCCGGAGCAACUUGAAGGGUCUCCUGGCUCGUUGACAAUAUCCCUACGCAUCUGGACUUUGGGGCGCUGGGUGCAGCCUGGGGGCGCGUGGAGGGCGGACUGGACCUUUGGGAGAACAGAGCGGCAGAAAUGUAGGUUCCUCGGCUCGAGAGAACUGGCUUCUUGAAGCACUGCCGUCCUACAGUGUGUAAUGGAAAUAGACCUAGGCAAGAAGAGCAUCCCGAUGGUUUUGUCCUUGCAUUUCUUGGGAGCCAGUUUUCUGGAAAAACAACACAUGAUUGGUGAAUGCUCUUUUGAGAAGAAGAAUACUCAAUAUUGGAUAUCAUGAGAGAAGAAUAAGAACUUAGUAUGCCCUUCUGAAUAUUUUCAGUGAUGUCAGCUUGUGAGAGCAGUCAGCCUCUCACAGACAAGUUAUAUCAAAGACUAUUCAGCAUCCAAGAACCUGUGGAGGCUCUGUUGUAGAGAACCGGGAUCUCAGGAACAUGGAGACCCAAAUCAUUACUGCCGCAAACCACUACUCUCAUGUCAUAACUACACAUGUAAAUGAGACCAAUCCUGAAUUAAAUAAUGAGUUUUUUAAAGAAUUAACUUGGGAAAUGUCAAGUCUCAAUCCUUUUCCAUUGGAUGAAAUGGGUAUAUUUUCCUGCAUUGGAAUUGUGUAUUCUCAUAAUGUUCUUGAAAGCAUAAAAUUGGAACAUUUAAAAAAUGUGUUGUUUUUUUUUUUCUGGCAGUUUCUAAAGAGUGUAAAAACACGUUACCUUGCAAAGCAUCCUUUUAUCCUCACAGUUUAUUUGUUCUCUUUCAUGAUAAAACAGAGAUGCAUUUGAAAAUAGCACCAGGAACAUGAUGAGUUCAUAGUUUAUUAUUAUAGUUUAUAUCUGCAAUUAUGUAUUUAUUCACAAGUUGAUUUAUUUCAUUGCUAUUGUACUGGUGUCUAUAUCUCAGUCUGUACUAAAUUUAUGGUAAUACUGAUUUCAUUUAGUUUGAAAUUAAGAUUAUAAAAUAGGAUAAUAUUUAGUCAUCCCUCUUUUGUCCUUUCCAAGUGCCAUCACUAGCAA